rnacentral:lncRNA from 1 species
GGAGGGAACACAGGUCAGCCCAUAACAGGAAGGGUGGGCUUCUCCCUGUCUCCUCUUUACUGCUUCUGCUCUUCCUGCCCUCUUGUUAACUGCAGUUUCUGCCCUCCCCAGGGAGAGAGACAAGGCAAGGAUUAGGAGAGUUCCCACUCACCUGCUUCUGCUUUUUUUUGGUUUUCACUGCUGAUUUUCAGAGGUCAGCCCUCACUCAUGGCAGCAAAUUGCUCACCGCAGUUCCCUUAACUGGGUGAAUACCCUACCAUCCCAGCUCAUCCAUGCCCUGCCCUCUUCAGGCAUAGGAAUCCGUGAUUCCUUCCUGCUGAAGUCAGUUCACCACCACAUACCUGCCCUUGACUAUUAAGAAGAGCGUGCUUCCCAGACACAAGCUCAAGGUGGUGACAGGAUCCUGAAAGUUCAGCUGACACCCCACUGGGAACAUGCCUGCGCCAGCCCAGACAGGUCAAAGGACAGGAUUCCAAGCCGUUGAGAUGGUCUCUGGAGAAGCCUGGAAUUUCCCUGUGUCACAAGGGUGGCAGAAAGAGGCAGGCUUGCCAGCACCCCCGGUUCCCUUGCCAAGUGGAGCAUCUCUCAGGAUGGGAAGGGGCCCCCACCUCUUUGGUGACCCUGGCCAUCGGUUCCUGAAUGUCUGGUUUCAAGGGCCCUGAGCAGCUUGUGUCACAGGAGCAUGGAGUCAUCACAGAGUAUUUGCAUCCGAAAUACAUUUUCCUCCACAACAGUGCCCGGGUUAGAGUAAGCGAAGGCGAUUCUGUGCACUUUGGUGAAUCAGUGAUGGGUCUGUCUGCCUUUAGAUCUAUCUGACUGUUAUGUUCCCUAUGUGAUUCUCAUCAGAGAGCACUGCAGAGUUCCUGGAGAAUCCCCUAGCAGACCCUACCAGGAAAUGGGGUUCCACAGAGGUGACUGUGGUGAAUGACUAAAGACCACUCCGAGGGCAAACUUAAAAAACUGCAAGACUAAAGAGCACUUAAAAUAUAUUUUUUAUAAUUUAAAUGUAAAGCUUCCUAAAAACACUGUACUCAGCUAAUAUUCUUAAGCAAAUAAAUGGAGCAAAAAGUGAAGUAAGA